rnacentral:lncRNA from 1 species
CUAAGGUACCUAAAAAUUCUCUUAAUGGCUUGUAAAUGAGAUUCCUUAUGACAGGAUUGAUAUCUAGCACACAAGCAAAUACUAAACAUAAUGUUGGGUCUACUUGUAAUAAGAUAGAGUAAAGAACCAAUCAUUGACCUAUGCAAUUUUAUAUCAUAGAUUUAUCUUCUUCAUUGUAAGAGGCCUAUUUUGCCCGGCCCAUUAGAAACCAAAAAAAGAAACAAAAAACAAACAACAAAAAAACCCAACCCCAAUAGCCCAAAACUAACAAAAACCCUAAUGGCCCAGGCCCGAAUACCUAAAUUAAGUUUUAGUAAAUUAGAAAACCCUAGGUCCCUAUACGCCGCUGCCCAUGUGCACCGUACUAGCAGCCUCCGCAUCCUACCGUCGCCUCUACGCGCGUCAAACGCCACUAACAUCACCUGCAACACACAAAAGAAAAAGAACAAAGAAGAAAAAAACAAGAAAAUGGCAGAAAACAAAAAAAAUGGAACGAAUCUUGUACUUUGGCUAUAAAGGCCUAAAAAUUUCAUUGUAUUUUUCUACACACGCAUAUCAAAAAUCAAAGAAAAAAAUAAAAACUUUAGAAGGGAUUUCGAUCUUUUCCUUUGAUCUUGGUUUUCUUGUUUAUUUCUGUUUUUGUUUUAUUUUAUCUUCUUUUAUUUUUUAUUUUUUUUAACUUACUUUUAAACAUAAAAAAGAGGCGAAUAAAAGUAGAAGAGAGGAGAAAGGAACUUACCCGAAUCCAUGCAACCCCGUCGUCGGAGACUGCUUCUCCGUCGUCAGAUUCGACCCAAGGAGGUCGUGGGGUUCCUCCUCUUUUGAUCUUCUUCGGUCUAGGAAGCCCUUGCCGUCGAGCUCAUUUCAAGGAGGGUUAAAAACCCGAUUUCGCCUGGCCACGGUCACCGUCUACGGUGGAAACCACGGUGGCUUCACUGAGGCAUGACGACGGCGGCGAUGAUGGGUUUCAAAACUCUAGCCAAAAGGAGGAAGGGAAAGGGAGAGAGCAAAGGCUCUCUGUUUUUUU